GCUAAAUUCUGCUGUUCAAGUUUGUUACCAGGAAAACUGAUGAAGGCAAUGCUGUGGAUGUUGUGUACAUGGACUUUGGCAAGGCAUUCAACAAGGUCCCACGCAGGAGGUUGGCCAAGAAGGUUCAAUUGCUUGGCAUUCAAGAUGAGGUCUGACUGAGAACGGAAUAAUGGAGUUCGCUGAUGGAGAAGAGUCAUUUAAAGGAAGUUAUGGCUAGGCAGCAGCCAUCAGUGGCGGAGCGAAGAGAAGAAACAGGAAGAAAAGAGAAAGAAAAUAUAUAGUGAGCCAGAGUUAAAGGAGGAAUACCUGAGAAAGGAAAAGCAAAGAUGGAAGAAGCGAGUAGAGAAUGGGAGAUAAAAACUAUGUGAUUUGAAUGAAAGGGAAAAGAGGAGUAAGAGAAAGGCGUGGAAACGUAGACAGCAAGAGUCAAGAGAGCGUUAAGAGAAUGCUGAUGGAGGAAAUGGAGCAGGAACCCCAGAGUGGUCCUGACGAGACUACAACAGAUAUAUCUGCUGGUGUCAUUAAUUGUGGAGAUUGGCUUGCAGUCAUUUAUGACCAAAAUUGGUGGUUAGCAAAUGCUGUCACUGUGGAUGCUCAUCAUCAAGAAGUUCACCUCCGUGGGCCCAACACGCACUUCCGUCCAGAACCAGGUGGAAAGGAUACGUGCUUCGUACCAGUUGAAGAUAUUCUGGUCAGACUGAUGGAGCCAUCAUCACCGGGUCGUGCAAGCAGGAUGAGGGAGUUCUACCACCUGUCUGCUGAAGUCAUAGACUUCAGAGGAGGAACAUAUUAAUCACUUACUUCCUGAUGAAGCUGACUGAAUGUUUUCAAAGAUUUUCAAGCCCAGAAAUGGAUGGAUUUUUUUAAAAAUUCCUGGCGUGUUUUCUGAUUUUUAUGCUUAAACAUUACUGUAGCUUUUAUUUUGCUGUUUACCAUUGUUGUUGAUAUUUACAGAAGGAUGAAACGUAGAUGACAAAUCGUUUGUUGUA